rnacentral:rRNA from 1 species
AGCAGUGGGGAAUAUUGCACAAUGGGCGAAAGCCUGAUGCAGCAACGCCGCGUGAGGGACGAAGGCCUUCGGGUUGUAAACCUCUUUUAGCAGGGAAGAAGCGAAAGUGAUGGUACCUGCAGAAAAAGCACCGGCUAACUACGUGCCAGCAGCCGCGGUAAUACGUAGGGUGCAAGCGUUGUCCGGAAUUAUUGGGCGUAAAGAGCUCGUAGGCGGUUUGUCACGUCUGCUGUGAAAUUUCGAGGCUCAACCUCGAACUUGCAGUGGGUACGGGCAGGCUAGAGUGCGGUAGGGGAGAUGGGAAUUCCUGGUGUAGCGGUGGAAUGCGCAGAUAUCAGGAGGAACACCAGUGGCGAAGGCGAC